rnacentral:ncRNA from 1 species
UAGUAUCUGCCUCAAGCUGGUGCUGUUUAGAAAUCUAGACGGCUGAAAAGGGAAUCUGGUGAAAGUCCAGAACUGACGCGCAGCGGUAAAAGAGAACGAAAGCUCAAUAAGACACUGCAUGAGUUUAUGUGGGAAGUCGAGUGAGUAGGAAGCAUGAUUAUUUUGCUCUUAAGUCCGAAUACCUGCCAGUAAGCGAGCCAUGAC